rnacentral:rRNA from 1 species
UACAGAGGUCUCAAGCGUUGUUCGGAAUCACUGGGCGUAAAGGGUGCGUAGGCCGCACGGUAAGUCAGAGGUGAAAUCCCGGAGCUCAACUUCGGAAUUGCCUCCGAUACUGCCGUGCUUGAGGACUGGAGAGGAGAUUGGAAUUCACAGUGGAGCAGUGAAAUGCGUAGAUAUUGUGAGGAACACUAGUGGCGAAGGCGACUUUCUGGCCUGUUCUUGACGCUGAGGCGCGAAAGCUAGGGGAGCAAACGGG